rnacentral:rRNA from 1 species
CUACAAAUGAAUUAACGGGGCCCGCACAAGCGGUGGAGCAUGUGGUUAAUUCGAUGAUACGCGAAGAACCUUACCGGGGUUUGACAUGCAGGUGAUCGCCGUUGAAAGACGGUUUCCUCUUCGGAGGCACCUGCACAGGUGCUGCAUGGCUGUCGUCAGCUCGUGUCGUGAGAUGUUGGGUUAAGUCCCGCAACGAGCGCAACCCUUGUCAUUAGUUGCUACAUUCAGUUGGGGCACUCUAAUGAGACUGCCGGUGACAAGCCGGAGGAAGGUGGGGAUGACGUCAAGUCCUCAUGGCCCUUAUAGGUGGGGCUACACACGUCAUACAAUGGCUGGUACAAAGGGUUGCCAACCCGCGAGGGGGAGCCAAUCCCAUAAAGCCAGUCGUAGUCCGGAUCGUAGUCUGCAACUCGACUACGUGAAGUCGGAAUCGCUAGUAAUCGUGGAUCAGAAUGUCACGGUGAAUACGUUCCCGGGUCUU